AUUAACUUGGCAGAUAAAUGCCAUUGACUUAGGAUCAAUUUAUAAUGCUCAGCAUUAGUUAAUU
rnacentral:tRNA from 1 species